UCUACAGGCUUAACACAUGCAAGUCGAGGGGCAGCAUGGUCUUAUCUUGCUAAGGCCGAUGGCGACCGGCGCACGGGUGAGUAACACGUAUCCAACCUGCCGUCUACUCUUGGACAGCCUUCUGAAAGGAAGAUUAAUACAAGAUGGCAUCAUGAGUCCGCAUGUUCACAUGAUUAAAGGUAUUCCGGUAGACGAUGGGGAUGCGUUCCAUUAGAUAGUAGGCGGGGUAACGGCCCACCUAGUCUUCGAUGGAUAGGGGUUCUGAGAGGAAGGUCCCCCACAUUGGAACUGAGACACGGUCCAAACUCCUACGGGAGGCAGCAGUGAGGAAUAUUGGUCAAUGGGCGAGAGCCUGAACCAGCCAAGUAGCGUGAAGGAUGACUGCCCUAUGGGUUGUAAACUUCUUUUAUAAAGGAAUAAAGUCGGGUAUGGAUACCCGUUUGCAUGUACUUUAUGAAUAAGGAUCGGCUAACUCCGUGCCAGCAGCCGCGGUAAUACGGAGGAUCCGAGCGUUAUCCGGAUUUAUUGGGUUUAAAGGGAGCGUAGAUGGAUGUUUAAGUCAGUUGUGAAAGUUUGCGGCUCAACCGUAAAAUUGCAGUUGAUACUGGAUAUCUUGAGUGCAGUUGAGGCAGGCGGAAUUCGUGGUGUAGCGGUGAAAUGCUUAGAUAUCACGAAGAACUCCGAUUGCGAAGGCAGCCUGCUAAGCUGCAACUGACAUUGAGGCUCGAAAGUGUGGGUAUCAAACAGGAUUAGAUACCCUGGUAGUCCACACGGUAAACGAUGAAUACUCGCUGUUUGCGAUAUACUGCAAGCGGCCAAGCGAAAGCGUUAAGUAUUCCACCUGGGGAGUACGCCGGCAACGGUGAAACUCAAAGGAAUUGACGGGGGCCCGCACAAGCGGAGGAACAUGUGGUUUAAUUCGAUGAUACGCGAGGAACCUUACCCGGGCUUAAAUUGCAGAUGAAUUACGGUGAAAGCCGUAAGCCGCAAGGCAUCUGUGGAGGUGCUGCAUGGUUGUCGUCAGCUCGUGCCGUGAGGUGUCGGCUUAAGUGCCAUAACGAGCGCAACCCUUGUUGUCAGUUACUAACAGGUUCCGCUGAGGACUCUGACAAGACUGCCAUCGUAAGAUGUGAGGAAGGUGGGGAUGACGUCAAAUCAGCACGGCCCUUACGUCCGGGGCUACACACGUGUUACAAUGGGGGGUACAGAGGGCCGCUACCACGCGAGUGGAUGCCAAUCCCCAAAACCUCUCUCAGUUCGGACUGGAGUCUGCAACCCGACUCCACGAAGCUGGAUUCGCUAGUAAUCGCGCAUCAGCCACGGCGCGGUGAAUACGUUCCCGGGCCUUGUACACACCGCCCGUCAAGCCAUGGGAGCCGGGGGUACCUGAAGUGCGUAACCGCGAGGAGCGCCCUAGGGUAAAACUGGUGACUGG
rnacentral:rRNA from 1 species